UGUGUGGUGUGUUCACAGUAGGCACUGGGAUUGCGUGAUAAUGGACUGGAUGUGACAGAGCGGAGACUGGGGGCAGGAAGACCAGUCAGAGGUUACCACAAGAGUCUGAAAGUUGAUGAGGACCUCCUCUGGACAGGCCAAGGGAGUGUUCUUUGGGAGCCUGCACUAUAAUAAAGAUAGAAGAAGACCUGGAUUAUUAUUAUCAUUAAACAGCUACAAGCAACAAAAACAGUCAUGAAACUUCUCAGGAAAAUAUGGUACCAGAUCAUUGAAGACACAGCUCUUCUUGAUCUGGCAGAGCCAUUCCAGUGGGGAGAAGAACAUCUGCUAAACCAGCCUUGGUAAAAUCAGUCUAGGGACACUUUGACUUCAAAUCACAGAGAACCCAAUUAAUAGUGGAUUAAACAAAUAAGAGUUCAUUUUCCUCAACUGAUCAGGCUCCUGUAGGUAAGCUGCUACCAGCUUUGAUUCAACAGAUGUAUGAUAUGGGGGCUGGCGCUUUGUGAUUCUUCAUGAUUGCUUCUGAGGUAGGAAAACAGCAAAGGGCAGAACCAGCUGAAAGUGCUUCCUUUUAUCAGGACAUCAGAAGCUAUCUCAGAAUCCCUAUGUCUGUUUAUUUCUCACUGGCCAAAAUUAUGUCAAAUGGCACCCUGAGCUGCCAGAAAGGCUGGGAAGAAAGGUAUUUCAUUCACUACAUUGCUACAUCACACAAAAUUGGGGUUCUUUUAUGGAAGAAGUGGGAAAUAGGCAUCAUGUAGACAACUCACUUUGUCCGCCUCAGGGGACAAAUGCUUUCCACUUCUAAUUCCUUAUUUCCAAGAUAUACAUAGAAUGAAUCUUUCCUUUGCUCACUGUCCCAGAGGUGGGUUCUGUAGAAGGUUGAUGAGAAUGGGACUCCAGGUUGCACUGAGAAAGGAGACAUGCCAGCUGGGGGCUAUGAAUGCUCUUGCCAACCAAGCAUCAUCUAGAAGUGUAACUCAAUCUCAAGAGAGGCCAUCCUCCACCUAGGGGAAUGGCCACCUCAUGUCCACCUGGAGCCCAUGUGGAAAAAGCCCAUUCAUAGGCUUGAUGAUUCAAGACCAUCAUGGUGUCAUAUGCAGUAUAUGGGAAGUCAGUGGACAUUUCCUUUCCCUCCAUUUUAACCCAACUCCAGAGGGGUAAGCUCUGCGAAAAGGAGAGGGUGUGAGAGAAAACGGAAUACAUUCUUCACCCCUAGACUGUGGAAGCUGCAGAAGAGACUCCAACCGGGAAGGAGAAUGAGCUUUGGAUUGCAUCUGAUGACAUGAACUGGACUGAAUCUUACAAACAUAAAUGAAAUGGUAUUGAUAAAUAUGAGUACCUGAUAACCUAGAAUCAGGCUGAGAUAUUGUAAGGGAACUACUACUCAGUGGGAGAGGAAGAUUUGACAAAUUAUAGCAAUGGCAGCUGUUAUGGUUUGAAUAGUGUCUCCCCGCAAAAAAAGUUAAGUCUUAACCCUCAGUACCUGUGAAUGUCACCUUAUUUGGAAAUGGAGUCUUUGCAGAUGCAAUUAAGUUUAAAGUCAUACUGAAUUAAGGUGAACCCUGGUCCAAUAUGGCUGGGAUCCUUACAAGAAGAGGGAAAAUUGGACCCGGAGAAGCACAGGGGGAAUGCCAUGUUAAGACAGAGGCAGAGACUAGAAUGACUUAGGUGCAAGCAAAAAAAAAGUCAAGGAUUGACAGCCACCAUUACAAGCUAGUAAGAGACAAGGAAGGUUUCUAUCCAGAGUCUCAGAGGGAACAUAGCGCUGCUGACACCUUGAUUUUGGACUUCUAGCCUCCAGAAAUGUGAGAGAAUAAAUUUUGUGGUGUUAAGCCAACCCAGUUUGUGGUACUUUGUGAUAGCCGCCCCAGGAAACUAAUACAGCAGCCAACAGAGUGGAGGAAAUAAUGCUUUACAUGUAUACCCCUAAUGAUGUGAGACUGUUUAUGAAACCAAUAAGACAUAACCAACUUUGAUAUGGAUUGAUACCUUUGUCACUAUACUAUUUUCAAUGACUGUUUAAUGCCUUCUUUCUAACCUGGGCUAAAUAGAAAACAUCCUUCAACUGCCUUGAAUUUUUUCCUAAAGCAGAAACUUAUUAGGCUGUUCUUGCUUAGAGACUGUAUAGUGUUUUUGCUUUGGUUGUUAAACAUUUUAAUUAGGAGCACAGAGCUUACUAGAGAAGGCAUUCAUUGCUUCUCUAACUUUCUUAGUAUUAUCUGAGUGAGGAUAUCUUUAACUCUGUCUCUUGUGUCUCCUCCUCUCUCUUUUUUUCCUGUGUCUCUUUUUGCAAGAAGAGGAAAAGUUUCUUAUCACGGGCUUGAAACACUCUGUCUUUUUACUCUAUUGCAAAAUUGUACACAAGGAAAAAUUAAGGAGAAGCUCAGUUGCCCAUGGUGGUCUUACUCUAAGAUGCCUGGCUCUUGUGGGCGUGUCAUUGGCCAUUCUCCUAUCUCAUUAACUAGUCAACAUAUUUGCAUAUCUAGAUGGGUAGGGAAGAUAGGUAAGAAGCUAACAUUUAUGGAGGAUUCAGCGUAUUCACAGAGUAACUGUGCUACAUAUUUUAUUUUAUUUGAAGUUUACUGGCUUAUCUCUUUUAGCAUUUUGCAACUUGCCUCCCACUUCUUACACAACUUUAAAAUUUGCCCUAAACAUUUUAAAUCAUAUUUUAACACAAUAGAACUUGUCAGUUUUAAGUUUACUAUGAUUUCCUCACAUCUUUUUUUUUUCACUUUAGAAAAUACUAAAACAAAUUUUAGCAAAUCACAUUGUGAGUUCCUUGAAAAUGCUAUUUUUAAAAAAUAGAAAUGAUAUGACAAAUUCUUAUAUAAUGACACUACAAAUUUUUGGUUUAAAAAUUGUUUAAGUGUAGACAUAUGACUUGCUUAAAAGUAGAAUAUUUAUAUAAUUAUGGCACAUUAAUUAUAUUAGGAUAUUACUUCAUGUUCUAAAGUCUAUGCCAUGGAAAUAUAUUUGUCAUUUGAAGGAUGUUUGAGAUAUUUAUUACUGUAGACACAUUUUUAAUUGGCAAGUAUAAAAACUACUUGUUAAAACUUUGAAUUCUUACAAAAUUCAAGUUAAUAUUUAACACAUGAAACAAAGUAAGAAAUAAAGAAACCCUUAAUGCUGAAGUUCCACCAUUAAAAAGUGCUUUAAAGUUUUCUGAACUUAAUUUGAACCUUUAUUUUCAUUUAGGUGCCAUUAAGGAAUCUGAAAGGGGAGUGACAGAAACAUUGUUUGAAAUUUGCCUCUAAAACAACUUUAACCACUUUAACCCUUUGAAUGCAUGUCCCAGGCAGCAUUAGGAUGCAAUAAACCCCAGAGAGAGUUAGGGGAGAGAAUUAUUUCUGGAGCCCCUGUUCCAUCUGGCAUUUCUUCUCUUCCUGUCUCACAAGAGUAAUUUGAGGUGCACAGGUAUCUUGGGGACAGGAUGAGUGGUGAGGCUGGUGACCAAGAGAAGGAAUACGUGAACUUUCUGCCCACUGGCUUUUUUCUUCUUCCCUUUUCCUCUUUGGGUUACUGACUCUGCCACCCAAGUCAUGACCCUGGGGAUGACUUUCAUACUUCCUUCCCCCCACUUCUCCUCUUAUCAAUAUCCAAGUCUGAUGUUACCUCCUUCACAUGUAAAUUUUUCCCUUCCUCUUCAUCCCUUGGAAUUGUUCACAAGGACAGUGACAACAAGCUCUCCAUCCAGACCUUCUCUCCAAUCUACAUUUCAUACUGAUAUUACAGAAAUCUCCCCAAACCACAAAUAUGACUAUGUUACUUACCUGUUUAAAAAAAUUCUAGAGGGUUCUCAAUGCCUUUAGGAUAAAUCAUAAUUCCUAGAGCUGGUCCUUAACUUCUGACCAAACUUUGCUUUCCACUUUGGGCCCCUUAAACCUCUACUCAUAACCAGGGUCACUGAGUUUGGAGUGGUCACUGGUACGACUCUAGGGGACACUGUUCACAGACGAUCUCUAUGACCAAUGUUCCCUCUACUUGAAAUGCCUUUCCUCCCUCUGUUCUUUUAAUACACAAUCUUUCUUGAGUUUCUCCCAGUACUUCCCUUCUUUGUAUGGGAAGGGAAUUACUAGGAGCUCUUCUUCCUCUGUGUCCCCUCUCCCUGUAUGGAUUUCUUUCAUAUAGUCUAUAAUUCAAUAGUAACUAUUUGUCUAUAUGCUUCUCUACUUCCUCUCCUCUCUGCCCCCCCAAUAAAGUGUAAGUCCCUAGAAAACGGGGGCUGUUUUAUUUGUUUUUAUAUCCUGAGCACUUAGAACAUUGCCUGGUACAUAGAGGUAAUUAAUAUUUGGUAUGAGUACAAGUGAAUGAAUGAAUGAAUGAAAUGCAAUUAACUUUGCCUUGGUGUGGGAACUCUAAGUUAUCUCUUUAAAUUUUCUCUAUGUACAUUUAGAGUGCGUUUCUUUCUAUACUAGCUUUGGUCCCAUCCUAACAUCCUAACCUGUCCCUCCCGAUUGUUUUCUAGUUGCUUUACCUGGUAGCUUCUGUCUCUAGCAGGACUUGGCUUUUUCCUGGAGCAAAUAUUAGCUGCCACCAUACGCUAUUUGCUCCUUUGGAUCAUGUGUCCCUUCCUCUGCGGAGAUGACCAAGAGUUUACCAUGGCUGUAGUGCAAUUGGCAGUUGUCUGAAUCAAAACUCAUUAAUAAAAAAAUGAUAAUGCUUCAAAGUACAUUACAUUACUCCUUCAAAGUCCUUUGUGAACAUUAUCUUAUUAAUCAUCACAAUAGCUCAGGGAAAGAUAAACAUUGCUGGUUAUCUUACCUAGAUCAUAUUUGGAAGGACCUUUUUUUUUCUUGUUAUUGUUUGAUUAUGCUAUGAAAUCUGGAGAGCAAUUUUCAUAUUGGCUAUUUGGAUAUAAUUUGAUAUGCUGAUGUAAAAAGUUCCCUGGAUCGGUAAGGUGGUUUUUAUUUUUAUUUUAGAUGUCUCACCCGGACUCUUGUCAAAUUCUUUCCAGAGAGCUAACCAAAGAAUAACAAGCAAAAGACCUGAUAUUUCUGCUCAAGGAUUGAAAUUUUCUGGAUAGCUUGAGGCUCUUUAAACCAUUGAUUCAUGAUCUAGAAAUCAAAAGAUUCUUCUUUACUUGCACAUGUGUAGGUGCUCAAGUAACUGUUGAAUGACUGAAUGAUGUACUGAUUUAUAAUUUAGAAGUAAAUGAGGGGGCUUAUGUAGGAAAUCAGAAUCCUAGUCAGGAAUUCCAUUAGUAACUGAUAUCAAAUAGCUAAAAGAGAAUUCUUUUAGGAAAGGAAUUUUACUUAGAAAACUGGUUUAAAAAAUUCGCUCAGCAGCUGUGUCCCCACCUCACCUUUAACACCCUAGCUUUACUUUCCUCAUAACACUUCUCACACAGUUCAGUGUGUUUAUUGACAACUUUAGUUUCCCUUCUGGAGCAGGUGACAUAUUCCUUACGUGUUGACACAUUGUGGGUCUCAAUAAAUGACUGUUGAAUUGAAAAACAUUAACUAGAGAAAUCUUUCCUAUAACAAAAUUAUAGGAAAUUUGGAUGGAUUCAGUUUCAAAAUUAUAGGAAGGGGUUGUCUAAUACUAGGGCACUAUAUUCAAAUGGAGCGGCAGGUAUUCUCAGCAGGACUUGUGUGAAGAAUUUGAAAUCUUUUAAUAGCUCAGCAACAAACUGUAUUGCCUGUAGAAGGUUUUCUUUUUUCUAGAGAUGUCACAGAUGAUAGUGGUACCUUCUACGUCCUAAGAUGACUUCUUCCUUUAUGGGAGAGUCCAGGGUGGAGCGGUCAUUGGUGCAACUAUACCACUGUUAUCUUUGGUGCUGCUCAAGAAUGCUGGAGGGAGACUUCAUGAGGUUUACCUCAAGUUUCUUUCCAGUGCAGGUAAACAUUUCUGACCUUAUAGAUUCUGUCAACUCUCUAUGUCCACCUCAUAAGCAUAGACUUAAGGACCAGGCAGAAGUCAGGCUGUGGUGGUAAUCAAACUUUCUCAACACAAUAGUUUUGUGGCAAAAGGGUGUGGAGCUGUGUGGAAGGGUGGACAUUUCUCUUGUCUUGUAAUUUCCCUUUCUGGUUGAACACACACACUUUCCAUGGGCACCUUUUCUUCCUGCUCUUCAUACUGUUCUUUCAGGCAGUGCUGGUGCCCAGGACAAAGAUGGAAGCUUUCUGAAAAUCUCAGUUUGAACACGCUCUUGAAACCCUUCUCCAAUCCCCAAGGAAUUGUGACCCAUUGUUGAGAAAUGCUUGAGUAGAACAUGCAGGCUCCUAUAUGCCACUUUUUAAGGUGGAGAGAUAGAACAUCCUUCUAGCUUUCUAAAGUCUUGUUCAUUCUUGCCUUUUUUCUUUCAGUGAGAAAGUUGGUGCUGAUAUCCCAUAGACAAAGCAUAACAAAUAGGAUUAAAAGUGGUUCUACAGUCCAAUCAGUAAUAAGGACCUUCCAUGACUCAGUGCUGUGGAGGGAAGAAUAUUAGUCAGUGGAUCCCCAGGAAAAUGAUAAUGCUUUAAAAAUGAAAUGCACAUCCUUCGUCUAAAUCUAGUUCCCUCAGCUUCAGCUAGUAAGCUUUGCACUUAGCAGUGCUCACACCAGCAUCUGUUUCAUUCCUUAACAGAAUAACAUUGUUUUGAUGAAAUGCCUAUUUCUCCAUUGUCCAUGUUUUGCACAGCAAUUUUAUUUUACAUUUAAAAAAUGUUAAUUGAAAUAUAGUUGAUUUACAAUGUUGUGUUAGU